UAUAUCCUUCAUGAAAGACUAUCUGUUCAUUAAAAACUGCAACAAAAGGUUGACUAAGAUAUCAUCAUCGAAGUGUACUGUAUCAGGUACAACAAAAAAAUUCUCCUAGAACAUGCAGUUGACAACAUGGGCAAACCUCAGCACAACCUGUCUCAGUACUUGCACUGGGAAGAUCUGAUUUAUGUUAAACAUGGAAAAAUGAACUUGUAGCUCUGCUGUGAUGUGCACACCUGCUGUAACGAUGAUUGAUGCGCCAAUGUCCUGUCUGGCACCUUUUAUCACAUCAGCUACCAAUAUGUUGACAUAAAGAAAAUUGAGAACUAAGUAUCCGAAGCAAACUAUGUCGUAAUUCUUAUUAUUGACAUUGUGCUGGUCAAUUGGUCACUGACGGUAAUCCUUGUUUCUUAAACACUAUCCAAAAUAAAAUUAAAAUAUAGUUGAAUAUCAUCUAGAUCUUUCAACCAGGAAUAGGCUUGAGGUUGCAGGGCCUAUUUGAUACGUGCAGGUCUAAUUCCUUUUAAUGUAUGCAUGGACAUGUGUGAUUUGCUUUACAAAUAAAAGAACGGCGCUCUAAUAGAUCAUAACCAUUAAAUUUAGAAUCCUAAAGGCUAGACUAAUCUUUUGGUGUGGAUUAAUGUCUGGAAGUAAAAACGACCCACUUGCUAUGUGCUAUAGCACAUCUCGAAAGUAAUUUAUAGAAUAUCAAGCACAUUAAGGCCCAUCAAAAAAGAUAGUGAGUGAUGUAAUGAUACAGCAUAUUGAUAGAAAUGUGCAACGAACUUGCGAAAAGUUGUCUAAACAAUGAAUAUAUAUGUUUUGUAAAGCUGACAUCAAAGACCAUAUAUCCUCCAUCUUAGACUGCAGAACACACAUAGUAAAUUAGAAAUUGGAAAAGUGCACACUGAAUGAGGAAUAAUAAAAUACUCUUAGAUCAUCACCUGUCACAACACAUCUACUCUUAUGUUGGUACUGAUUGGCAUUAUUUCUUAAUGAUAAGUAAACUAUGGCGAGAAAGAAAACAAAUGGGGAAAUUCAUGAUACAUGGGUUCUAAAUGUAGUGAUGUUUUGUCUGGUUUUCUGAAAAUGUAGUUGGUGGAAAAAGAGGCUUUCAACUGGCUAAUAUACAUCACUUAAUUAAUUGGCACAUAAAAUUUGUAUUUAAGGUUAAUGAUGAAGUAAUAAAAAUAAGACGAUAGCCAUGUAAAAUUAGAUAUUAGUCUUCAGAAGAAUGAACACUGAAAAUUCAAGGAACUAACCUUAAAAAGUAACAGGAAACAUGUAGUUAGUACUCAAAGAGAACAUCGGGAGUCUGUAGCAGUCAUCACCCAAACGCAUGGCAUAUAUGAUGCACCAAUUGGUUCGUUCUUAUGUAGCCAAAGUUGGACUAUACUACCUGCCAUCUAUCAAUCCAGCCUGCACUAAUAAUAAUGAUAACAAUGUGACGAUUUCAAAGAUAUUUAUGAAUAAUGUUUGAAUUGUUAGAUAAUCUUAAAAUCGGCAUGAUGUCAUUGCAUCCCUCGCUGUUAUAUAUACCCAUGUAAUCCCACUCCCCUUGUAAAACUCAGAUCGAAGUAAUAAUAAAUACUCAGGCCAAUGACAGGCGUCGCGUGCGUGCGGCGUGCAUGUGUUUCAGCAAGAUUUUGAUCUACGUUGUGUGCCUGCGGUUUGCCUGCUUGUUUGCAGCCAGCCGGAAUCAGUCCACCUGCCUUCUUGGAUAGCUGGUUGCGUACAUGUGUGUGUUGCUGGCUAAAGCAUUGGCCAGCAGCUUUCAAUCGGCUACGUACCUGUGCAACUUCUCAGGCCGGCAAGUAUUCAGUAGGCCCAUAUUGUUUCUUGUUGCUGCCUCGGAAAUAAUCUAUGAGGGUAUACAUGGAAGAAUUUUAUUAGAUGAAAAUGACCUCAAUUUUAGACAAAUAUAAGUGGUCAGCAUAUCUGUUCACGGCUUUCCUGGGGAUACUAAUUCAACUUAUUUUAAUACUCCCAAAACUAGGCUAUAUAUGAAUGUGAACAUCAGGUUAGAACAGUCCAAAAGGAGCAACAUACAGUCAAUUUUUUCAUAACUCAUGUAAUUACUCUAGGAGGUCCAAAUACCAAUCAAGGAAUGAGAAAAGAAGCCCAUUCUCACAUAUCGUUUGAACAAACAUCUGCCUGACAUUUGUACUGGAAAAACGAACUGCAGCUUCCUUGUCCCUUAGUCUCACAUGAAAAAUACUACAGUCAUAUGAGAUUUUCUUGAAAAAUACCACAUCUCAUUAUUAUAUGUUGUGUUCUAAUAAGAACUCAUUUUUAGUAAAAUAUGAUAGUCAUGUUCUAGGGAAGGAGAAAACUAAACAGGGUCAACUAAUUGCAGAAGCUAGUUGUACGUACCUUCAGUAUGAAGGUGAUUAGAGGUUGUAUCCACCUUGAGUAUGAAGGUGAUUAGAGGUUGUAUCCAAC
rnacentral:lncRNA from 1 species